UCUUGUCCUGAAAUAAACAAUGAAAAUAUGAGAAAUUUAUUUAUCAAUUAGAAUACUUCUUAUUUCUUGUCAUCUUACCUUGAAUGUUACGUGGAUUUAAAAAUGGAAUGUUUAAUAUAAGUAUCAGUAAUAUAUUAUUGGUGUGGCAAUCGGUCGCAAGAGUUACUAUUUUAAGCCAAGAAGAAGCGCUAAUGUGUCUAUCUAAGCUGUAUAGUCGUCCUUCCGAUUCGGCAAUUUCAACCUGCAAUGAUCGAAACUUAUUUAACUCGAUGAUCUCGCUUGUAGCAUCUUUCCUUAAAAAAGUAACUGCCCUGACAAUUGGCAGACGAUUUUGUAGUGAGCUCGAUGCUCCGAAUUUCUCCAAACUCAUUAUUGAGUCGUUUGACACCAUUGGAGGAUACAUGAUUUAUAAAUAAGGUCUCAAAUAAUGAGGCACUAAAAUUUCGAUCAAAAAUCGUAGUAGAAGAUUCACAAAAACGUUCUCGUACUUUUGGCUACUAAGAACUCUGAGUUAAAACUGUUGUGACUUAACAUUGGCGUUGAAAAUUUACUGAGAGUUCUAUGGGUCUUGAUGACCACCAAAUGAAGUGAAAAUUUCUACUAACUACCAACUGAGUUACGCACAGCCUUUAAAUAUGUCUGGAUUGUUAAUUUGACCCCCACUAGUUUUUCCUACGAGUAUAUGUCUAAUUGUAUUUAAACGCCCUAAAGGGAGGAGACACCCUCUUCCCAUCACACAUCUCGAAUAUUGUCCAAUAGUGUUACAGAAUGGUGGGGGGGUGUAGUAAGCUAUUCGCUGGGGUUGGUUCGCUUUUGUAAUACUGCAAGGUGUAAUGGUACUUUUUGCAGAUUCUAUACUUUUGAAGAUUCUUAACUCUCCCUCUCAUCUUCGUAUAUUGUUAAAUAUUUAUUAUUUUAAUGCAAAAAUGCAAAUUUUACAGCAAGAUUCUGACAUUUUACAAAACAUUUUUAUUUUAUUUUUUCGUAACUAACAACAAAUUUUAUAUAAUUAUAAACAAAAUGUUUAAGUUGACAUAUGAGUUAAUUUUAAAUAAACAAUUUUUUUUUAGAAUUUUAUAACGAUGAAAAGACUUUUUAAAAGAUGUAGACAUUUUUUUUAAUUUUUCGACAAAUGUAUGAAAAUCACAAAAAUCAUGUUCAUGUAAAAUGUUAUUUAAUUUACAAUUUUAUUUGUUUCAACAAUUCGUGUAUUUUCAGUAAUGAUUUCUUCAAUUCCUUUCAAGUUUUGUGAAAAUAUGAUGAUUUGAGAUCAAAUUUUAGGUUCAUACCUGCAUGGGUCUUAUGUCCGUGUUCGCGGAUGCGUGACGAACAUAAUGAACCCGAAAUAUUUAUCUUUUUCCUACCCAUGGAGGACAUUUACUUACUAUUUUAAAACAUACUAAUUAAUAAUCGCGAAAAUCGACAGAAAUCUUUGAUUUAUGAUGGAAAAGACUGUUUAACAAUUAAUAAAUAUCAUAGAAAAUAUCGAAAAAAAUAAGAGCUAUAGAGAUUCAUUGUAAAUUCUGAUAAAAAUGACAGAAUCAUAAAGUCUAACUAAUAAAUGUUCUCUGAAAAAAUUUU